AGGGUGCGAGCGUUAAUCGGAAUUACGUGGGACGUAAAGCGCAUGCAGGCGGCCUGUUAAGUCAGAUGUAGAAAGGCCCGGGGACUUAACCGUACGGUAAUUGCUAUUUAGUAAACGUGGCGAGGCUAGAGUCUUGUAGAGGGGGGUAGGAAUUUCAGGUGUAGCGGUGAAAUGCGUAGAGAUCUGAAGGAAUACCAGUGGCGAAGGCGGCCCCCUGGACAAAGACUGACGCUCAGAUGCGAAAGCGUGGGGAGCAAACAGGAUUAGAUACCCUGGUAG
rnacentral:rRNA from 1 species